GGCUCAUUAUCUCUCGUCAACUGUGGAUGAAUAUUUGCAUUUGUGACGAUUGUAACGUGAAAAGCAUUUCAAUGGAGUGGGAAGCCCCAGAGGAGAAGCAGAGCUCGAGCCAAGUCUUGUCAAUAUUCAUUUACGCAUCCGAAAUGGCUGAUUUGACUAGACGGAGUCGAAAUGGAUUAUCCCCUCUUUCAUUAGGCACUUCAACAGGGUGAAUUGUCCAGUAUUUGAACCCCUGGACAUUGUGUAAAUAAUUUUUUUAUUCAAAUGUACCAUCUUUCGAACUUUAUUCCGAUUUGUUCAAGUAGAAAAGGAGUUAUUUUCUACUUUCAUUAUUUCAAAUUUCUCCGAGCAAUUCUAUUAACGUUGUAGGGCAGUUUGAAGGCUGAAUUUUAUGAUGAGAAAAUAAAAUGCAGUGGAAUGAAAUAAAAAGUCUAUUGAAUUUUUUAAUGAACCUUGACUGGAAAACAAUUUGUCAUUGGAAUUAUGGACUUGUAAUUUCGUGGAUAGAAUAUAUUUAAAACUAAAAAAAAAACAAGAACAACGGAGUUAAUGUUCGAAAAAUAAUACCUGAUCCUGAACUGGUCAGUUAGCGUGACCACUGGACGAUUCACCCCAGUCCUCUCUCAUUCGCCUCAAAACUCAAUUACCAUUUUUUAAAUUGAAAUUAU